rnacentral:lncRNA from 10 species
GUCCUAACUCGCAGCCGCGCGUCAUCACCCGCAUUUCAUAGAUGAAAAAACUGAGUCUCGGGAAACUCACUCAAGGUCAAAAACUUUGUGAGGAGCAGAGCUCAUAAGAGCCCGCGGUCUCCAGAACCCCACAAUGGGGCACAAUAUCUGGGCCCAGCUGCGCGGACAGCGGUUGAGCGAGACACACUGUCCCCCACUCACGCACGACCCUUCCCGGCUCCACCCCAGUCUAGAGACGCUGGGGGCCCCCGACCUCCGUCUCAAAACAAGCCCAGCUCAGAUUUAAACCGUCUUUAUUUCUACAGCAACAUCUGAAAAUAUGAGAGCAGCCGCCUCACCCGCAACAGGGGGAGCCCCUCCUGCCACCAGGGGACCGUCGCCGCCCCUCGCGAGAAGCUGCAGGCGUGGGGGGAGGCGAGGCAGGAUGGCUCGGUGGGCGGUGCCCGGGGCGGGGUCGGCCGUGCCUGGGCGGGGCCGGGUGGGAGGGGCAGUGCAUAAGGCCGGGAUGCGGGGCAGGGCCCGGCGGUGGGAGGACGGACUAAGGGGAGGUCCCCGUCCUGGGCCACGGGGCGAUGGCGCGGGUAGGACGCAUCCCUCAGAGGCCAGGAGGAGCGCGAGAAGGUUACCCUGAGAUUGAACAGAAAAGACAGGGGCUGUGGGAGAGACA